ACGGACAGUUGCACAUCUGCCUCGAGACUGGGAGAGGGUACCGUUGUGGGGUGGGGGUUGCUUCUCCCGAAACCGUUUGUGACCUCGAAGAAGGCAGGCUCCCGGAUGGGUGUGAGCGUUGGACACCCUAAAAGCCACUGGAGAGUGAUGGCCGAGGGCCGGGACCAGCUUUCUCUCGGAGGUGCGCAGGCUCUCCUCAGAAGCCUUGGCCCGCGAGUCGGCGCGGCUCUGGUAGGAGUGGCACAGGUUCUGCAGCCCGACCUCAUACUGCCUGAAGUACUCUUUCUGUCGGAGGAGAAGCCAGCGCACUUCUGAACAAUCCACAUCCAAGUCACACCCAACAAGUAUGUAUCAAGCUCCUAUCGAUAGCAGAUACCCCAUGUUUGUGUAGUAUAUUUACACAGCAUAGAACUUUUUGCCAUCUUCUCCAAACACCUGAAACUUCCCAGUGGUGGGGACAGCUUCUCUAGACAUGAGGCUUUUCAAAGUAGUAGAACACUUGUUUUGAGUGAAAGUUACAUGGAAUCUCAAUAUGAAAAACAAUUUAGGUAUUAUCUCUUUAUGUUCAAGGUUAUUAUGAUUUACUCAUGAAUCACCAGUGAGAAUGAAAAGGCCAUUUUGAUGAACACAAGCCUAGAACCCACAGUCUGGCUGACCACCACAGUCUCACCAACUAUAGCAUUUGUUUACUUCUGUGAAGACUAUGAGCUACCUAGCACUGAAUAGUUCCUUUAAAACAUGUUAGAACUAUUUAAUUAUUUACAACCUAGAAUACUAUCCUAGUAAGUCAAGAUGGCAACAGAAACUUCAAGUUCUGCACAUAAAGAAAUUAUCACUUGAUGGCUCAAAAUAAAUGUUGAAGCAGAUGCCAAGCAUAUUAAAAUUUAACAUACAACGUCA